GGAUGCGAUCAUACCAGCACUAAAGCACCGGAUCCCAUCAGAACUCUGAAGUUAAGCGUGCUUGGGCGAGAGUAGUACUAGGAUGGGUGACCUCCUGGAAAGUCCUCGUGUUGCAUUCC
rnacentral:rRNA from 1 species